rnacentral:rRNA from 1 species
UAACCGGAUUAGAUACCCUGGUAGUCCAUGCCGUAAACGAUGAGUGUUCGCCCUUGGUCUACUCAGAUCACGGGCCCAGCUAACGCGUGAUACACUCCGCCUGGGGAGUACAGUCGCAAGACAGAAACUCUCAGGAAUUGACAGGGGCCUGCACAAGCGGU